rnacentral:rRNA from 1 species
UACGUAGGGGGCUAGCGUUAUCCGGAAUUACUGGGCGUAAAGGGUGCGUAGGUGGUUUCUUAAGUCAGAGGUGAAAGGCUACGGCUCAACCGUAGUAAGCCUUUGAAACUGGGAAACUUGAGUGCAGGAGAGGAGAGUGGAAUUCCUAGUGUAGCGGUGAAAUGCGUAGAUAUCAGGAGGAACACCGAUGGCGAAGGCAGCCCCUGGGCCUGUACUGACGCUCAUGCACGAAAGCGUGGGGAGCAAACAGGAUUAGAUACCCCGGUAGUCCCUGAG